ACUCAAAUGAAUUGACGGGGGCCCGCACAAGCGGUGGAUCAUGUGGUUUAAUUCGAAGCAACGCGCAGAACCUUACCUGGGUUUGAAAUCCUACGAAUCCUUCAGAGAUGAGGGAGUGCCCUUCGGGGAAUGUAGAGACAGGCGCUGCAUGGCUGUCGUCAGCUCGUGUUGUGAAAUGUUGGGUUAAGUCUCGCAACGAGCGCAACCCCUGUCCUUAGUUGCCAGCAUUAAGUUGGGCACUCUAAGGAGACUGCCAGGGUUAACCUGGAGGAAGGUGGGGAUGACGUCAAGUCCUCAUGGCCCUUAUGUCCAGGGCUACACACGUGAUACAAUGGACAGUAUAGAGGGAUGCAAACCUGCGAGGGGGAGCUAAUCUCAAAAAGCUGUUCUCAGUCCGGAUUGGAGUCUGCAACUCGACUCCAUGAAGUUGGAAUCGCUAGUAAUCGCUGAUCAGAACGCAGCGGUGAAUACGUUCCCGGGCCUUGUACACACCGCCCGU
rnacentral:rRNA from 1 species